AUACGUAGGGGGCGAGCGUUGUCCGGAAUGAUUGGGCGUAAAGGGCGCGUAGGCGGCUUUGCAAGUCAGUAGUGGAAGUCCAUUUUUCAAGGAUGGAAGUGCUACAGAAACUGCGGAGCUUGAGUGCAGGAGAGGUUCUCGGAAUUCCCGGUGUAGCGGUGAAAUGCGUAGAGAUCGGGAGGAACACCAGUGGCGAAGGCGGGUAACUGGACUGCAACUGACGCUGAGGCGCGAAAGUGUGGGGAGCAAACAGGAUUAGAUACCCUGGUAGUCCACACUGUAAACGAUGAAUGCUAGGUGUAGGAGGUAUCGACCCCUUCUGUGCCGCAGUAAACACAGUAAGCAUUCCGCCUGGGGAGUACGGUCGCAAGAUUAAAACUCAAAGGAAUUGACGGGG
rnacentral:rRNA from 1 species